AGAACGAACGCUGGCGGCAGGCCUCAAACAUGCAAGUCUAGGGGGUGCAGCAAUGCAUCACCGGCGGACGGGUGCGUAACACGUGGGAAUAUACCUUUUGGUUCGGAACAACGCAGGGAAACUUGCGCUAAUACCGAAUGUGCCCUUACGGGGAAAGAUUUAUCGCCAAAGGAUUAGCCCGCGUCCGAUUAGCUAGUUGGUGAGGUAAUGGCUCACCAAGGCUCCGAUCGGUAGCUGUUCUGAGAGGAAGAUCAGCCACACUGGGACUGAGACACGGCCCAGACUCCUACGGGAGGCAGCAGUUGGGAAUCUUGGACAAUGGGGGAAACCCUGAUCCAGCCAUGCCGCGUGAGUGAUGAAGGCCUUCGGGUUGUAAACUCUUUCGACGGGGACGAUAAUGACGAUACCCGUAGAAGAAGCUCCGGCUAACUUCGUGCCAGCAGCCGC
rnacentral:rRNA from 1 species